AAGAAGAUACCAACAGUGCCAGAAGAAGUGGUAAUUUGGAAAUGCAGAUUUGUAUUUUAUACAUAUCUUGUAAUGAAGAUAUUCAGUAUUUAAGUAUUUGUGUUCACCCCAUAUCACAGACCACUACUUAUGCUGUCCUCUUUAGCGUUAAAUUUAGCUAGAACAAUACUUUUCUUAAAAAAUGCAGAUAAUUGUACACAUGAAUAAAAUAUUCUGGAAUAUAUUGUUAUAGCAGUCAUCCUUUAUUUUUGAACUAAUAAGAAAAUCAACACCUCUUCUGAAGGUGGUGGGCAGAAUUGUGUUCUGUUGAUUUAUUUGUUCACAGUGCACUGAAAAAGCCAGUCAGCUUUAUUCCAAGCUUUAUGAAGAAGCUGAGAAUAUAAAGAGAUGGAAAGUGGCCAUGGAUGCUGAAGUUAUACAGAAGGAUAAGAAAUUACAGGAAAAUAAAAGAACUAUUGAAAACCAGCGCAAAGCCAUUCAGGAGUUACAGUUUGGAAACGAGAGUCUGAGCAUGAAAUUGGAAGAAGAGAUGAAUGAAAAUAAAAAUAUGAACAACAAAAAUUUGGCCACCAGACAUUUGUGUAAUCUGCUAAAGGAAACUUUUGAAAGAUCAGGAGAGAAAAUUAAUUUAUAUGAAUCAGAGAGAGAAGAAACACAUGACCUGCUUAUUCAGAAUAACAAGGACAUCCAGAGGAUGGUACUGGCAUUUGAUGGCCUUCAAAUCCAAGCUGAAAAUGAAAGAAAGGAGAUGAAGAUUAAAUUAAAAGAGAGUAAACAGCAGAGUGAGGAACUCAUAAGGGAAUGUCACGCAGAACUGAGGAAGAAACAAGAACAGGUUUGUCCCUAAAAUGGCUUUAUGACCCUUUUCCAUAACCCCUAGAAAUCUCCACAAAUGUGGUUCUUUUCUAAACGGGUUUGCUUGCAUGAUUGGCAACUGGUGUACAGCAUUGUGCAAAUAAGCAAACCUAUAUUAAAGGCUGACAUUGUAUGUGCUGUAAAGAUCUGUGAAAGCCCUCAAUAUGCAUUUAUUAAGGUACAGUAGAUAUUUCCAUGUAUUACUUUACUGAAAACCCUGAAGAAAAAAUAAAUAGCAGGGACAUACAUGUUUAUAGCCACAGUCAUAAUCCACAACCCUGAAUAAACAUGAGCAUGCAGAAUACUGCCACUUUAAAACGCAUAACGUUUGUUUCAGAUAUUUAAAAUAAUGUCAUUUGUUUACAGGUGUCGCAGCUUCAGCAGAAGUAUGAUGAAAAAGAUAAUGAACUUCAGCAAAUAUGGCUUCAUUUUCAAGAAACAAAGCAGAAAUAUGAGCAGCUAGAAGAAGCAGCAAGUAAAUAUUCAGUUGGAUUGUUUUAAUAUUAAGUUAGGCAUGUUUAACUUGUCAAUAUGUGUUUUUAUGGUAGAAAGGUUGUCCAUAAGGUCUGAGAAUCGGAAUUCCAGAACAAUAAUUAAACUUAUUUUUAAUUGUCAGGAUUCCAGAACAAUAAUUAAACUUAUUUUUCAUUGUCAGGAAAACAAUAUAAAGAUCUACAAGAGUCACAUAGAAAACAAGAGGUGCUUUUAGAUAACCUGGAAAAAGCAGAAAGCUCCCUUAAAAAAACCCAGGUUUGUGAGAACAUCUUUUAAAACUAGAGUCAACAUGUGAGGGUUCAGUGGAUGUUGUCUGUUGUUUGUUGGACACAAGAUCAUAUACAGAGUUUGCUGGUAAUGCUGAAUUCUUACCUCUAUUUAGAAACGUCAGCAAGUUCUCGAGACAAUGUUAGAAACUAAAGAACAGGCACUUGGGCAAGUAAUUGUGGAGAAAGACGCAGCCACAGAAGAGCUUAAUAAAACGAAAGAAUGUCAGGCAGCAGCGAUUAAGAAGCUGCAGGAUACAGUUCAGACUUUAGAGACAUCUCUUACAAUGAAGAAACUGAGGUCAGAAGAACUCGAAGAGAAUUUAAACAACAUUUUAGUGGAAGCAAAUAAAAAAACUUGUGAAUUAGGAGCGAUAGAAGAACACAAAAAAGAGAAAGAAAAGGAAAUCAAACAGCUUACAGACAAAUUGGGAAUGGCUAGACAGUCCAUAACUGCUUUAGAGGAAAAGUUUAAAAAUGAAGAGAAAAAGGCUGGGAACCUGAUAACUGAACUGGAGGUCAAAAACACAGCCCUGUGUGAACUAAAGGUCUGGACACCUAUCUGUUUUUAAAACGUGUUUUACAAUAUACUGCAACUGUGCUGCACAGACAUUUCAUAACACUUUAGUCAUGAUUCAUUGGCAUGUGC